GAGGUGCUGGUGGUGGCGGAUGUGGCAUCAGCAGCGGCGGACUCCUGCUGCUGACGCCCAGAGGUGCACACUCCUCCCUCUUCAACGGUGAACUGCUCUACAAACUCAACUCAAAGGCAGAAUGGUGGUGAUGGUGGUGGUAGUGGUGGCGGUGGCGGUGGUGACGGCACUCUUCGCCUACUCCAGCUACCAUCACAACUACUGGGCGGCCCGCGGGGUCACCACGGCUCCAGGCUACCUUCCUCUACUUGGACAUUCUCUGAAGUUUUUGUCCACCAAACCCCCGAGAUGGCUUUUUGUUGACGAGGU